rnacentral:rRNA from 1 species
UACGGAGGGUGCAAGCGUUAUCCGGAUUCACUGGGUUUAAAGGGAGCGUAGGUGGGUUGGUAAGUCAGUGGUGAAAUCCCCGAGCUUAACUUGGGAACUGCCAUUGAUACUAUUAGUCUUGAAUAUCGUGGAGGUAAGCGGAAUAUGUCAUGUAGCGGUGAAAUGCUUAGAUAUGACAUAGAACACCAAUUGCGAAGGCAGCUUGCUACACGGUCAUUGACACUGAGGCACGAAAGCGUGGGGAGCAAACAGG